UAUACCAAUAAAACACUAAGAUCCUCAGCUUAGAUCCGAUGGAUCGUCUAUCUUCCCUUUUUGAUGAUGACAAAGUAUCUCUUCUGUGUUUUAAUGAAUGUAUACCAUGUUUGCAACUUCUAAGCAAGGACCGAAGCUCAUAAACUCGGCAAUCAAACGCAGGACUUCGGGAAAGUUCGGAGAGCCGACAACCUUGCUUCGGAAGUUACUAUGUUUGUCGAAGUUAGUCAGUCCUCAUCUUUGAACACGUCUGAUACGGUGCUUUUUGUCAGCAAUUUGCUUUUUGUCCGCUUGUACUUUUUGUCCGACACUUUUGCUUUUUGUCCGUUGCUUUUUGUCCGUAAUGCUUUUUGUCGUCUUAUAUUGCAUGUAAAGUAUACAUUCAUUGAAAUUACAGAACACUAGUGAACACGCUGAUAUACCCCACGCCCCCCCCCCCCCCCCCAUAAUUUCACUGGAUAAACAAAGUCUCACCAGAUUCACAAGUUCAUAGACUCCUUAAUAAUUCAAUGAUAAUAAUUUUCUAGUGUAUAUGCACGGCUGUUCUACCUCAGGAAUAGAUUGACUUAUCUGUAUUUGGCAAAACAUUUUGGAAUUUCUGGUCCUCAGUGUUCUUCAACUUUGUUCUUCAUUUGGCCUUUUUAACAUUUUUUUUAUUAGAACGUCACUGUUUAGUCUUUUGUAGUCUGGCGCAAAAAUAAAAUUUCAAUCCUUGUAUCUAUAUCUAUGAUGAGUUUAUCUACAUGGUAUCUCCUUGUAGUCUACAAAGUAACAUAAAAAUCCUGUUAUGUAGUAUCAGAGGAAUUGCGAUGACAAACUGUUGCAUUAGUAUAUUUAGGCCAAAAUUCGAAGUUCAAAGGGGCAUAACUCUAAGAAAAAAUAUAUUGAAUCGUAAUUUCCUGUCGAUAUUACAUGUACGAAGUAGUCAUGGACAAAGAUAUGUCUGGUUAAUACAGUAUACCGAAUCAAAUAUUUGGGUAUUUUAACUCAAGCUUAUUUUAAAUAUGCUACAAGUAGGAAUUGUAGUUUGCCCAAAAUAAAAAAGAAGAAAGGAAAAAAUGUUCACUAAACACUGAAGAAAAACCAACGUGGAACACAUUUAAAUCUGAUUUGCGGUCAGGAGCUCAAGUUAGACCCAUUGGUGUCCCUCGGCUGUUAUUUGCUCUUUCGUCGGUUUGUUGCCUCUUUGACACAUUCCCGAUUUCCAUUUUCAAUUUAAUAGAAGUUUCUGGUCCAAUACUUUCACUCGUUUGUUUCUUACGAUAAUCAAGUAAUCGUAUAGAAAUGCUGCUUUCUAUAACCAAUUUAAAUCGGCCAGUAUCAGUGAG
rnacentral:lncRNA from 1 species